rnacentral:rRNA from 1 species
UACGGGGGGAGCAAGCGUUGUUCGGAUUUACUGGGCGUAAAGGGCGCGUAGGCGGCCACCGCAAGUCGACUGUGAAAUCUCCGGGCUUAACCCGGAAAGGUCAGCCGAUACUGCGGGGCUAGAGUGCAGAAGGGGCAACUGGAAUUCUCGGUGUAGCGGUGAAAUGCGCAGAUAUCAGGAGGAACACCGGUGGCGAAGGCGGGAUCCUGGGCCAGUACUGACGCUGAGGAGCGAAAGCGUGGGGAGCAACAGG